AUUAACCUAAUGCAUAUAAUAAUGGUAUUAUUCUGUUAAUUUAAGAUAUUCAUUGAUUUCAAGAAAAUGUAAAAACUUUUUUUAAUUUAAAUUAAAUAACCAAUGCACGUAUGAUGCUUACGUAAGUUAAUAUUUUGGUACACAAUUUUUAUGCAUAAAGCACAAUCUUUCGACUUGUCCUCCGGUAUAUUCUACGAUUUUCCUCAAUAUUGAUGAGUAAAUAUAUUAAUUGUACCUAUUUAAAUAACAAUCUUAAUUUUUAAUUUAAUGAAAAACUGUUUCAACAAUAUAAUUUUAUUUUUGUAGACAAGUUAAGUCCCUAUAGUUUCUACAUUUUCAUUUGUUUUCAAUUUACCUUUACGUUUCUUUGUUUCAGAUUUUCUAUUAGCGAUUUUGAAACGUUAACGCGAAAUUCGGAGUGAUUUCUUAUUGUGAUACUGAUCGGUGUUAAAUGAUGAUGAUGAAUAAUGACGUUCCAUAUUUUGCAAGAAAUUAACCCUUUGCGUUUCAUCUGUAAGUGGUAUUUCAUCAGUUCAGUUCAUUCAAAAUAGAUACAACCACCAGAUUAAUCGGAAAGUAGAGCAUCCUUGGUAAUAUGAAAACCAAAAAGUACCUUUACAAGAUACUGACUUCAGAUUUUUGCCCCAAACUCGUGCUACAACCUUUCUUUCAAUGUCGGAAUCCUAAUAAGUAGAUACUUUUAGGAAUUUGAGGAACAAAUAGGACUG